UUUAAUGAGAGUUUGAUCCUGGCUCAGGACGAACGCUGGCGGCGUGCCUAAUACAUGCAAGUAGAACGCUGAGGUUUGGUGUUUACACUAGACUGAUGAGUUGCGAACGGGUGAGUAACGCGUAGGUAACCUGCCUCAUAGCGGGGGAUAACUAUUGGAAACGAUAGCUAAUACCGCAUAAGAGUAAUUAACACAUGUUAGUUAUUUAAAAGGAGCAAUUGCUUCACUGUGAGAUGGACCUGCGUUGUAUUAGCUAGUUGGUGAGGUAAAGGCUCACCAAGGCGACGAUACAAAGCCGACCUGAGAGGGUGAUCGGCCACACUGGGACUGAGACACGGCCCAGACUCCUACGGGAGGCAGCAGUAGGGAAUCUUCGGCAAUGGACGGAAGUCUGACCG
rnacentral:rRNA from 1 species